ACCAAUGAUGCUACAAUCCAACUUGUCUUAGGCUGUAGUUUAUCCAAGACCCUGAUAUCAGGGAGAACCUACUUGGUGUUACUACAGUUCAUAUGACAUCAAAGAUUAAACUGAGGU